rnacentral:rRNA from 1 species
AUUGAACGCUGGCGGCAUGCCUUACACAUGCAAGUCGAACGGUAACGGGCCUUCGGGUGCCGACGAGUGGCGAACGGGUGGGUAAUGUAUCGGAACGUACCUUUCAGUGGGGGAUAACGUAGCGAAAGUUACGCUAAUACCGCAUAUUCUGUGCGCAGGAAAGCAGGGGAUCGCAAGACCUUGCGCUGAUUGAGCGGCCGAUAUCAGAUUAGCUAGUUGGUGAGGUAAAGGCUCACCAAGGCGACGAUCUGUAGCGGGUCUGAGAGGAUGAUCCGCCACACUGGAACUGAGACACGGUCCAGACUCCUACGGGAGGCAGCAGUGGGGAAUUUUGGACAAUGGGGGCAACCCUGAUCCAGCCAUGCCGCGUGAGUGAAGAAGGCCUUCGGGUUGUAAAGCUCUUUCGGCCGGGAAGAAAUCGUAUCAGCUAAUACCUGGUGCGGAUGACGGUACCGGCAUAAGAAGCACCGGCUAACUACGUGCCAGCCGCCGCCGUAAUAC